GACGAACGCUGGCGGCGUGCCUAAUACAUGCAAGUAGAACGCACAGUUUAUACCGUAGCUUGCUACACCAUAGACUGUGAGUUGCGAACGGGUGAGUAACGCGUAGGUAACCUGCCUGGUAGCGGGGGAUAACUAUUGGAAACGAUAGCUAAUACCGCAUAAUAUUGAUUAUUGCAUGAUAAUUGAUUGAAAGAUGCUAUUGCAUCACUACCAGAUGGACCUGCGUUGUAUUAGCUAGUAGGUGAGGUAAUGGCUCACCUAGGCCACGAUACAUAGCCGACCUGGGAGGGUGAUCGGCCAAACUGGGACUGGAGCAAGGCCCCAACUCCUACGGGAGGCAGCAGUAGGGAAUCUUCGGCAAUGGACGAAAAGCUGAACGAGCAACGGCGCGUGAGUGGAGGAGGUUUUCCGAUCGUAAAGCUCUGUUGAAAGAGAAGAACGGGUGUGAGAGUGGAAAGUUCACACUGUGACGGUAUCUUACCAGAAAGGGACGGCUAACUACGUG
rnacentral:rRNA from 1 species